UAGGGAAUCUUGCGCAAUGGGCGAAAGCCUGACGCAGCGACGCCGCGUGAGCGAUGAAGGCCUUCGGGUUGUAAAGCUCUGUGGGGAGGGAAGAAUAAGAGCAAGCUAAUACCUUGUUCGAUGACGGUACCUCCUUAGCAAGCACCGGCUAACUCUGUGCCAGCAGCCGCGGUAAGACAGAGGGUGCAAACGUUGUUCGGAAUUACUGGGCGUAAAGCGCGUGUAGGCGGCUAUGUAAGUCGGGCGUGAAAUCCCACGGCUCAACCGUGGAAGUGCACCCGAAACUGCGUAGCUAGAGUCCUGGAGAGGAAGGUGGAAUGCUUGGUGUAGAGGUGAAAUUCGUAGAUAUCAAGCGGAACACCGGUGGCGAAGGCGGCCUUCUGGACAGUGACUGACGCUGAGACGCGAAAGCGUGGGGAGCAAACAG
rnacentral:rRNA from 1 species